UCACCCCUCAAGCCCGGCUUGAUGUUGGACUUUUAGGUCUGGAUCUCUUCCACGACCGGUCCCAAAGACAAUGACGGCGUCCCCUGGACCCUUGGUGCAACGAGCUUCUUACCAAGCACGCAUCGAGUUGCAAGGUCCCGGGGCACGGUCCUCACCUUACACACUUCUUAA
rnacentral:misc_RNA from 1 species